AGAGUUUGAUCAUGGCUCAGAUUGAACGCUGGCGGCAGGCCUAACACAUGCAAGUCGAACGGUAACAGGAAGCAGCUUGCUGCUUUGCUGACGAGUGGCGGACGGGUGAGUAAUGUCUGGGAAACUGCCUGAUGGAGGGGGAUAACUACUGGAAACGGUGGCUAAUACCGCAUAACGUCGCAAGACCAAAGAGGGGGACCUUCGGGCCUCUUGCCAUCAGAUGUGCCCAGAUGGGAUUAGCUUGUUGGUGAGGUAACGGCUCACCAAGGCGACGAUCCCUAGCUGGUCUGAGAGGAUGACCAGCCACACUGGAACUGAGACACGGUCCAGACUCCUACGGGAGGCAGCAGUGGGGAAUAUUGCACAAUGGGCGCAAGCCUGAUGCAGCCAUGCCGCGUGUAUGAAGAAGGCCUUCGGGUUGUAAAGUACUUUCAGCGGGGAGGAAGGUGUUGUGGUUAAUAACCGCAGCAAUUGACGUUACCCGCAGAAGAAGCACCGGCUAACUCCGUGCCAGCAGCCGCGGUAAUACGGAGGGUGCAAGCGUUAAUCGGAAUUACUGGGCGUAAAGCGCACGCAGGCGGUCUGUCAAGUCGGAUGUGAAAUCCCCGGGCUCAACCUGGGAACUGCAUUCGAAACUGGCAGGCUUGAGUCUUGUAGAGGGGGGUAGAAUUCCAGGUGUAGCGGUGAAAUGCGUAGAGAUCUGGAGGAAUACCGGUGGCGAAGGCGGCCCCCUGGACAAAGACUGACGCUCAGGUGCGAAAGCGUGGGGAGCAAACAGGAUUAGAUACCCUGGUAGUCCACGCCGUAAACGAUGUCUACUUGGAGGUUGUGCCCUUGAGGCGUGGCUUCCGGAGCUAACGCGUUAAGUAGACCGCCUGGGGAGUACGGCCGCAAGGUUAAAACUCAAAUGAAUUGACGGGGGCCCGCACAAGCGGUGGAGCAUGUGGUUUAAUUCGAUGCAACGCGAAGAACCUUACCUGGUCUUGACAUCCACAGAACUUUCCAGAGAUGGAUUGGUGCCUUCGGGAACUGUGAGACAGGUGCUGCAUGGCUGUCGUCAGCUCGUGUUGUGAAAUGUUGGGUUAAGUCCCGCAACGAGCGCAACCCUUAUCCUUUGUUGCCAGCGGUCCGGCCGGGAACUCAAAGGAGACUGCCAGUGAUAAACUGGAGGAAGGUGGGGAUGACGUCAAGUCAUCAUGGCCCUUACGACCAGGGCUACACACGUGCUACAAUGGCGCAUACAAAGAGAAGCGACCUCGCGAGAGCAAGCGGACCUCAUAAAGUGCGUCGUAGUCCGGAUUGGAGUCUGCAACUCGACUCCAUGAAGUCGGAAUCGCUAGUAAUCGUGGAUCAGAAUGCCACGGUGAAUACGUUCCCGGGCCUUGUACACACCGCCCGUCACACCAUGGGAGUGGGUUGCAAAAGAAGUAGGUAGCUUAACCUUCGGGGGGGGCGCUUACCACUUUGUGAUUCAUGACUGGGGUGAAGUCGUAACAAGGUAACCGUAGGGGAACCUGCGGUUGGAUCACCU
rnacentral:rRNA from 1 species